rnacentral:piRNA from 1 species
UUCUAUGUACAAAAGAGUCCUUGGUGGGG